rnacentral:rRNA from 1 species
GACGUAGGGCGCAAGCGUUGUCCGGAUUUAUUGGGCGUAAAGAGCUCGUAGGCGGUUUGCUGCGUCGAAUGUGAAAUCCCGGGGCUCAACCCCGGGCCUGCAUUCGAUACGGGCAGGCUAGAGUCCGGUAGGGGAGUCUGGAAUUCCUGGUGUAGCGGUGAAAUGCGCAGAGAUCAGGAGGAACGCCGGUGGCGAAGGCGGGACUCUGGACCGAUACUGACGCUGAGGAGCGAAAGCGUGGGGAGCAAACAGG